GUCCGGAAUCAUUGGGCGUAAAGAGCUCGUAGGCGGCUUGGUAAGUCGGAUGUGAAACCUCCAGGCUCAACCUGGAGUCGCCAUCCGAUACUGCCAUGGCUAGAGUCCGGUAGGGGCCCACGGAACUCCUGGUGUAGCGGUGAAAUGCGCAGAUAUCAGGAAGAACACCGGUGGCGAAGGCGGUGGGCUGGGCCGGCACUGACGCUGAGGAGCGAAAGCGUGGGGAGCGAACAGGAUUAGAUACCCUGGUAGUCCACGCCGUAAACGUUGGGCACUAGGUGUGGGACCUUAUCAACGGGUUCCGUGCCGUAGCUAACGCAUUAAGUGCCCCGCCUGGGGAGUACGGCCGCAAGGCUAAAACUCAAAGGAAUUGACGGGGGCCCGCACAAGCGGCGGAGCAUGCGGCUUAAUCGAGGCAACGCGAAGAACCUUACCUGGGUUGAAC
rnacentral:rRNA from 1 species